ensembl:lincRNA
AACAAACAGAUCUCCAAAUCUCAUUUGCUUCACCCCAUACAAGUUUAUUUGCCGAGAACAUCAAGGUGAAGGCCUGUGCUGAGUGCCACAGGGAACAGCAUUUAGCAACAUCAAGCAGGAGAGGCAGAGAAAGCAGCAAUAACUCCACAUAUGACUUGGAAAUUGGCUCAGUCUCGUGGCAGGAGAUGUGUGUUUUUAUGGUGUUAAGUGUGAAGGAGUGAAAGCAGCCAGUGAUCAGGAGCGCCAACGCAGCUCCUUCCCAGGAGCCUUCCCGGCUGCUUCCCCUUUGUGGGAGAUGUGCUGGAAGGAGUACUAAGAGGAGAGAUGCUUUCCUUUAGUAGGAUGGCAGCUUUGGGAAAGAGACGCGAGAGUGAGUGUGCAGAGAGCUUGUUCUGAGUGCAAGAGAUAAGUGGGAUGCAUCCUGUCUUAGAGGCAAUCAAGCAAGAGAGGAUGGGGUGGCAGGCACUUCAGCUCUCUAGCCCCUCCUUCCAGGGCAGAGCCAUUUUAGAGACCCACGCCUUUUCCCCAUCCAUAGGCUGCUGAAGCCAGAAACAGCCCAGCACUUAAGAGGGGAGCGGAAAAUGACAUCACUAGUCUGGGCAGUAUCUUCUCAGCCUAAACCAUUAUUCCCUCCCUCCCUUUUAACAAAGACUCCUAGUUUCCCACCCAAUAUGCAGUCUCCAUUUUCUUCCUAAUUGAAUGUUGACUUCUUCCCCCUGGGAAACAAGAUAUCAAGGAAAAUGAUGCACCUUGUUUGCCUCCCUUGCAAGUGGGCCUGGCCCAUCCAUCAGAGGAGAGGAGAGCCUGACGUUUCAAGAACUCAAGGUUCAGUACUAGGUCUCAGAGGAAGACUUCAUUUUAGCUUUGAUGCUCUCCGCUAGGCACAGAGAAUCUUAAGCAGAAUGACAAGACCUGCUGUUUGAGUAACUCACGUUCUGACCAGAGAGACAGACAUGUCAGCAAGAGGUUACAAUACAGUGUGCUCAGAUUCUCCGGGACUUGGAGCACUUGUUCCAGAAAGGAAGGCCAGGGAAGUCUUCCAGGAGUAGAUGGCGCCUCUGCUGACCUGAAGGGUGAGGAAAAAGUGUCCAGUUGCAGAAGGUAUGAUACUGAUAAUAUAGAGAUAAGAUAGCUUUUAAAGACCUAGAGGUGUAGACUAGUUUGAAACAGAUUGAAGACCUACAGAUAGUUGUGUGUGACUAGAGUGGGGUUGGGGUGGGUGUGUGAGGAGAGUUAGCCUGGAGUCUGACCACAAAGUGCAACACAUACCAUGUGAGGGAGGGAUCUGGACCCUAAAGCAUCGGGAACCCGGGAAGAGUCUCAGUAGGGAGUGACAUCAUCAGAUGCGAGUUUUGGCAAGAUAACUAACUAUCUCACAAGGUUUCUGUAGGAACAGUAGAGCCUACUGUAAAACUGUUUCAGAUUGUGGCUGAGCAAGAAGCCAAAAUAACAUACAAGGCAGCUAAUUAACAGCAUUUUCCAAACCUCCCACCUAGGUGUUUCUACCUUAGCUACCUUGCAUUCCUUCCUGACCUCAUCACAGACACUAAGCUCAGUCUGAGUGCUAUUGUAGAAGUCCAAGGCUGGUA